rnacentral:rRNA from 1 species
CCUACGGGGGGCUGCAGUGGGGAAUAUUGGACAAUGGGCGAAAGCCUGAUCCAGCCAUGCCGCGUGUGUGAAGAAGGCCUUCGGGUUGUAAAGCACUUUCAGUGGGGAAGAAAGCCUUGGGGCUAAUACCCUCGAGGAAGGACAUCACCCACAGAAGAAGCACCGGCUAACUCCGUGCCAGCAGCCGCGGUAAUACGGAGGGUGCGAGCGUUAAUCGGAAUUACUGGGCGUAAAGCGCGCGUAGGCGGUCUGAUAAGCCGGUUGUGAAAGCCCCGGGCUCAACCUGGGAACGGCAUCCGGAACUGUCAGGAUAGAGUGCAGGAGAGGAAGGUAGAAUUCCCGGUGUAGCGGUGAAAUGCGUAGAGAUCGGGAGGAAUACCAGUGGCGAAGGCGGCCUUCUGGACUGACACUGACGCUGAGGUGCGAAAGCGUGGGUAGCAAACAGGAUUAGAUACCCUUGUAGUC